UGUUUAUAUACAUACACACACACACACACACACACACACACACACACACACAGUAUUUUAAGAGUAUUUUAGAGUACACAAUGUUCCCUCUAAGCUGCGCACGUGCGCAGAUGCGCACUGCUGGCACGGUAUAUAUAUAUAUAUAUAUAUAUAUAUAUAGAUAGAGGUAAAGACUGUUAAACUCUGAUGUUAUCAACCAUCUGAAACAAGUUAGUUGGCUAACCUCCCUCCGUGCUACUUUGAUCUUGCCCUCUAGCCUCCUUCUCCAUGGAGGGUACUGCCCCUUGUGGCAGAUAGAUAGAGGUAAAGACUGUUAAACUGAUGUUAUCAACCAUCUGAAACAAGUACUCAAUUCACUGGUAUAAAACAUUAAUGGGAAGAUAGAUUACAAGAAAAAAUGGAUUAAAAUGAAUGUUUUUAUGCGUUUAAUAUGAACUACUAAUUUGGUCGUUAACAAUUUAAAGAACAAAAAAAGCUUAAAUCAGAAGUAUCAUAGAUAAAUUGCUUACUUUUCCUUUUAGUUUCAUGUGGCCACUUUGUUGGGUUUAAGAAACAGCACAGUUGGAAAGACGAGUUAUUGUAAAUUAAACUUAACCUUUGGCCACAUCCUCUAUGUUAAAAAUCAACCAUCUACUCUGCACUGUGAGUGUGACCUCAUGUCAGUGGGGUGGGGUGUAACGUAGACUACCACAACUUCCCUGUUCAAGACAAACUCAUCAUAUUACAGAUUUUACACUGCGGUUCAACUGAAAGCAGCUCUCAGGUCAGUGAAGGCAAUGUUUACAAUUAAUGUUGUUAUUUGUAGUUGAAGAGGAGCAUAAAUGUGAUGAAACAGCCUCAUGAGUAGGACAGUCAGUGUUAUGCGAUUGUACUCAUUUCUAUAGUGUUUGCAGUUUUUACUUCUGUAUAAAUGCAGUGAAUGGAAAUGUGUGUAUUGUAAAUGCGCUAACUAUACCUGAUUCUGUUCAGAUUGGGUGAGUUCAGUUUUAUUUAUAUAGUGGCACUUCACACUGGUUGCCUUAAAGUGCUUCAUAUAGUCAGAUAAACUCUAUUAGAAAGAAACCCCAACAGUCACAUAUUACUUGACAGAGACAUGAUGACACAUCAGAAAUUAGUUUUUAUAAAUUUGAUACAAAGAAGCUUCCAUAAAUAAGUUAGUUGUUUGAUCCUGGAGACAGGAGGAGCCUGCUGCAUAACUGUUUUUCACUUUGAUUUUCAGGGUGUCUUUGAAUUCUGCCCUCUGUGGGUUUAUCAUUUUCAUUUGGGUCAAAUGCAGAGAAAAACAAGUAAUUUCUCCACGGGGAUCAAUAAAGUAUACAUUAUUAUUAUUAUUUCAAUCAAAGAUGUGGAAUGCUAUUUUUUUUUUUCCCAUCGGUGUCCAGUGUGUUAUCAAAGUGCUUCUUAAAUCUUUUGCACAGUGUCAGUGAGUUUCCCAACAUUAAAAGAAAAUCAUUUUCACCACCUGCUAUUUCAUGGGGUUCUUUUUGUUUGUUUUUCUGUUUUUUGUGCAAAGUCAGUCGAAGAUUCUUUCAGAACUCCAGCACACAAAAAUGAGAGAGAUGCGCAACGUGCUGAUAUGGAUCUUGAUCUGCAUUUUCCUUUCCAUGACCGUACUGUUCUUCUGGUGUGUGUGCCGUGAGCGGGAGGAAUAAAUGUCCAUCAGUCACUCUGUCAUGACUGCCCAUCCAGAUGUAGUACCUGGCAAGGUGCUCAGAGCAUGUGCCUACCAGCUAGGGUUGCCAACUCCCUGAAAAAUAAAUAAGGGACACCUCGUAGCCGGCGACGGGCGACCCAGUGAUCUUCAACUUCCCAGUGUGGGUCAACGAUAUCAGGUUCCUUUCAUCUAUUACACAAACCUCAUCAUCUGCGUUCUAAUCCAUCACAGCAUGACGUUCUUUUGGGAGAUGAUAAUGCAUGAUAUCAUUGCAUGUUUCUUUUACUAUUUUGCUGUGACGGCCAGUCUUUACUUCAAAUCCUGCAUUGCUCUGGAAAGGUAUUGUUUCAUCGCCUGCCCACUGUUGGACUGCCUCAGACAAACUAAGGGUUCUGUACUGGUCUGUGUUCUGGUCUGGGUCCUUUGUAGUGUUAGUGUUGCUCUUGCUGUAUUUUUAUAUGAAUUUGUACGUUUAAUUAUUUAUGCCGCCCUCCCUGCCCCCCUGUUCAUCUUCUGUCUCGCUGGGACACUUAAAGCUCUGCCUGCUGCCACCUCAGUGCCCACUGAAGAAAAACGAAGAACCGUAGGAACCUUGGUUCUGUUGCUGCUUAAUUACUUUCUCAUAAACCUUCCUGCAGUCAUUCUGUUAACUUUGAACUUUGAGACACACUUCCCUGUAAAAACUAUUGAUUUUAUCAUUAUGAUCUUGUUUCUUUUUAGUUCAUUGUUGGACUUCAUUCUGUGUAUUUUCAUGUGUAAAGGACCCAUUGACAGGCUGCUGGUACGUCUGUGCUGCUGCAGUAUGGAGAGCAACAACACAGGAGAUGUGACUGAUGUUAGCACAGACAGGUCAGAUCAUGUAGUCAGAGAUGAAGGGAAAGAGGAAACAGGGUCACAUGAUGGGAGAGAUGGUGAGGAAGUAGCAAGAGUGAGAUAAGUGAACACCAUCCUUUCCAAAUAUUUUUUAGCUGUCCCCUCAGACUGUCAAUCACCUAAGUUUUAAACGAAAAUGUACAAAUUAUUUUGUAAUUUCUUCUAAAUAGCAUGAAGGUGGUGCAGUGAUUAUGUCACCUCACAACAGGAGAUAUGGUGACUUUUAUUACAUUUUUUUCCUGUCCUGUCCGACAGUGUAGCAAUCAGAAUUGUUGUCUGAAGGAGAAAAAGAACUAAACUGUCAUGAACCGGGCCGCACGGCCAUGACAAAAAACCCAGACGUGGAUAGGAAUGUCUUCCAAGCGAUAUUUUUUAAAUAAAUAAAACAGAAAAGAAAAUGCACUGUCAAAAAACACAAACUGUGGUGUGUGUAGUCAGUACCAUCAGUAGUGUAAGCGAGUGGAUGGGCGGAGCAUGUGCAUGUAAUUCUGUUAAAAGCAAAGUUCAAAGCCCCCCAAAAAACUCUGCCCUAAAGGAUUUUUAUAUAGAGUCCUGGCACACUGGCCCAGGUGUUGCCAGUGACACUGAUUAUAGACGGGAACACCGCCUCUCCAACGCCUGCAAAUGAGACACGCGCAAGGCAAAAGGAAGGCAGGGUGCAGUGGGUCGCCACACGAACAGAUUUACAUUCACAAGUGGAGCAUUACGGCCUUUGCUAUAGUGGUUCACUUGAUAGUCAUAUUUUAUUAAAACUGUAUUAGGGAUUUUUAUUUUAGGUUAUUAUUAUUAUUAUUAUUAUAAUGGAUUGGAUUUAUAUAGUGCUUUACAAUACCACUAUUCAUUCACUCUCACAUUCACACACUGAUUGAGGCUACAGUUGUAGCCACAGCUGCCCUGGGGCAGACUGACAGAAGCGAGGCUGCCAUUAUAACCAAAAGAGACAAGGGCCUGCAGACCAAAACAUGCAGUUCGAUAUAUUUGUGAUGAUAAACUGCCUGUAGGCGUGAAGACUGUCCAGGAUGUCAUAUGACAGCUGGGAUAAACUCCAGUCACCACCAAGAAAAGAUUGAUGGAAUUUCAUCUGAAGACAUCUUAAACUCAAAUAUUAAUCAUCUAAAGAGCUCUUGAAACAUUUUUAUUUUGUAUCAUUGCAGUCAUUAAUUUAUAUAAAUAUCAUAUUCAGUUUUUAUCCUGAAGGACACUUUAAGUGUUGCACAAAUUGAAUUUUCAGUUGCAGUAGAAUUUGAAUUUCCUCUGAUCUAUUCAGUUAUGUAAUGUAUUAUUAAUAAUAUUGUUGUUAAAUGUUGACAUGGUUGUGUUUAGGUUGUGGUUUUUAAAGGUUCAAAAAAGUUUUUGGUGUUUUGUAAGCUGGUUAAAUUUCUUUGAAGCUGCA